AAGUCGUAACAAGGUUUCCGUAGGUGAACCUGCGGAAGGAUCAUUAACAAGUAUCUGUGUCGGGAUUGAUGGUCGGGAAAAACAGGGAUCUAGGGAGUUGGUUGUCGGGGGAGAACCUCGAAAGGGUGGCACGCCGAGAGGCGGGGACCAUUCCUGGUGCAUCAAGAUCCAAAUUGUGGCGACAAGCGGUACGGGUAGAGGACAAAAGGUACUAAACAAGUUGAAGUGGAGACCACGUUUACAUCGCAACCCAUUUUCUUCUAACCACCGCUGGAAAACUAUGUUAGGGGGCCUGAGAACCUUCCAGAGCCGGAAUACCCGAACAACUGUUAACAAUGGAUAUCUUGGCUCUC
rnacentral:misc_RNA from 1 species